AAAGACUAUCAAGGGAUGUGGAUAGAAAUGACUUCUAAAAAAAAUAAUAGAUUGUCAGUAGUAAUCAGUGUUAAUGGGAGAAUGAUGUUGAAUAAAGAUCCAGAAGAAGUAACUCUAAUAAAUAGUGCCAAUUUGUUGAGAGAAAAUGUAGAGAUGACACUUCCUAAAAAAAAAAGAUUUCUAGAUGUCCAAGAAAUGUUUUUACUUAACUUCCCAUACAUGGUCUUUGAUGCAGGCUAUUAGAAUUUAUUAAAACAUUUGAAAAGAAUAAACGCACUUUCAUACAAUUUAAGUCUAAGAGGAUAAAGAUCAGUCAAGUAGU
rnacentral:misc_RNA from 1 species